AUUUGAUGAUGGGGGCAACUUGCAUAUAAUUUCUUGAAGCGUUCCCAAUAUUCAUGUAGAGACUCUCCAUUGUGCUGUCUUACACCACAAAUUUAUUUUCGAAUGUU